GAUGGUCUACAGAUACAUGCAACAAUUGAGGUUUCAUGUGCAAGGAAGCAAAGAAGAUGCGAGACCGUUUUUCUUUUGGAAUAGAAGAAUCAAAGGAUACACCGACCGAUUAAAGGUUAGAAGACAUGCCAAAUAAUGGAUACUUCUCAAUCAAAUGAACAAACAUGCUAUCCGCCGAGCUUCAAGACUGAAGGGAUAGAUAACCACAACUUCUAAUGACCUAUACCAGCGAUUGAUUGUAGCAUACUAGAUUCCUAAUGCUGACAGGAAUAGCCGCCAUGGCGAUAUUUACAGAAAAAAAAUUGUGGGCUGGACUGAAGUAUCGAAACACACUUGGGAUUUCUGUUUCCUGUAACAUUUUAUUUGGGGAGUUUGUGACUUCUAGACCUGAAUGGUUGUGCAUGGACCAGAAUAUGAAUGAAGGAUACUUUAGUAACAUUUAUGUAGAGGUUGUGACCUCCAUAUCCAUUCGUUUUUGCUCUGAUUCUUGGGAGUAAUCCUGAUUGAUUUGAUGUAUUUGGUUAAUUAGGGUGACAUUUUUUGGCUGAUUUGGGUGACGAAUUUGAUACUUAUGUGAAUUGUUUGGAAGUUUCUUGGCUGAUAUGCGUCGUUGUGGUAGUUCUUCAGCUAAUUGCUCUGCUCUGCGGUCGAGGGGGGAGCCGCCAGAGAGAGAACCAAUCAAUGCACAAGGAGUCGAUAGUUUCAGCAUAAUAUUAGGCUUCUCCAUGUGAUGUGAUACUCUUGGGAUGAUGAUGGUUACACGAGGGUGGUCUUUUUUGCAGGGCCAAUGAUGUGUGCAAGGACGGAAAGAGGCAGUCGAUCAACGCUGAAGACGUCUUCAAGGCGCUCGAUGAGAUCGAGUUCCCGGAGUUUGUAGAUCCCCUGAGGACUGCACUGUUAGGAGGUUUGGUAGGUUUGAGCAUCUGACUUAUAAUCUAGGUUGAUGGUGUUUGGCAUUAUUGGUUCGAUCCACGUGGAGGUCCUCGCCGUCAUUGCAGCUGCGGGACAAGACGGCAAGGAGUUUGUGCGUCUGCCUUACCUCUGUACAAAAUAAACUGCAGAUACAAAAAAUGAAAAAGCAGAGCACUGUUAUUUCUCCAUACUCUGCAUCCCCAUCUGAGUCACUCUCUCUAGAAGCAGGAAUGAUUAUACUUCAACCGACCAUGCUCAGCCUAGAAUAACACCACAACAUACAGUAGUAGUUAAGCAACAAAACCUAAGCACUUCCCGUCAUUGUUUGCUUUCUCAUGUUUUUGUUUGCUUCAUUGUGUUCCUAUUUACUUGCAUAUAGAAGUGAGCAAAGUCGAAGUGUUUUGGGUGUUACAAAAGAUUGUGAAUAUUUUGCUUUUAUAGCUCUUUUUCUUGAUUGACUCAGUUUUUAUGUAAUUUCAAAGCACUUCAGAUGUGUUAGGCUGCAGCAAGAGGCUGGAACAGAUCUUUGUGCUAUGACGAGUGUUUGCUUCAGUCAAUCC